rnacentral:lncRNA from 1 species
CCGCCCGUCCGGGGCCGGGCCAGCCCGCGAAGGGCCGGCGGCGUGGCCAGCUCCCCCCACGCCAGGCCUCUGGGUUCCUCUCGGAGCGUCCGCCUCCUCCGAAGCGCAGCUGGGAAGGGACCGAGUCUGGAUUCCAGGGAGGUCCGGGUUCUAAUCGAACGAGGCUGUCAAUGGUGGUUCCUUUCGCGGAACGGUGUGGACUACACGACAGGCCCUCGCUCAGAACAGCGAGGGCUGGCCCGCGCUCCACUUCCCAGGGAAGAUCUACUGCCAGGGCACACCUGCCGGGCCCUGGACGUGCCCCAUCGGUGGCGAAAGAAGGGGCUUCCUGACCCAACUCCCCCAGACAGCCGCCAACUCCGAUCACUCUGGCCGACGUUUCAACAACCACGGGGCGUCUCACAGACCCCGCGGUUUCCUGUCCUCCCCACGCCCAGGAACAAGCACCACGCCAACCCUUAAGUCACUGCGAGUCGAAUCGCCGUUCCCCUUAAGCGGUGCUUCUACCUGCGGUCCCCACCGUUUGAAACAAACUCCCAGCUCAGGGAUCACCUUAAAAGGAUAGCCUUCCUGACUUCCAGGGCCAAAUCGGUAACUCCCUCUUCAAGCGCUGCCUAAGCACUCACGCGUGCUCACUGCAGCACUCGUCUCUGUAUUUUAAGGUUUGUCUACUCUUCACCCCACCCCAACUCCAAACGAUGACCUUCAGUCAGACUUCAUCUUCAAAUUUGACGCUGGCCCCUAGCACCAUUCUCUAUACAGGAAAUAAGGUGUUGUUCAAUGAAUGGAAUUUCAGUGUCCACGAGAAAGCCCAAUACCUACACAUCCAAUUCCCAUUAUCAAAUGUUUGCACAAGAAUCGCAAAUUAAAGCCACCACUUCAUCAACUGGUCAAGGCGCCUCAAGCUCUGCCUCUUUCCCUGAUGGCCCAGCCAAUUCCCUCUCCCUCCUCCAAACAGCGCCUCUUUCCUCUCACUUAGCAUUUCCAUUAUAUGCUGCAUUUCAUUGUUGCCUUCUCUCUAGGUUUACCAAUUUAUCAACAAAAGUUGUAAGUUCCUUGAAGGCAAGGACUAGGAUUUUAUACAUUUGGGAAAUCUCAAAGCAUUGAGUGCACACUUCGGCAAGCGCUCAAAUACUGGCAGGUGAUAGUUUAAAAUCCCUCAAGAAAAAUCAACUGUAAAAAAGAG